CGUGUCAUGGAGAGAGGAGAAGAGCGCUGUGCACGCCAUCUCAGUGAGGCCCGCAAGGAGCGCAUGAGAGCCCUUGGAUCUAAGGGAAGGGAGGGGGCCCGCCACCAGCCUUACACUUGUGAGCAGGAUGUGUGACCCUUAAUUCUUGGAUAAACUAAAGGGCUGAAAAUUCGACUCUUGGAUCAUGCUAAUGCUGCCAUUUUCUGAACAUGGAUCCCAUGAAGGAAGAAGCAUAAAGCUCAACAUGCUCACUCAUGUGCAUGCCUGUGUUUGUCCUUUUGCAAAUGUUCAUGACUCUUCCUAUAACUUGUUAAAUAUGUAUAUUCAGACACCCCACUCAGCAUAAACUCCUUUUCCUGCUGCCUCUCACUCAAAGUACCUGUUUCUGGCUUCUGGCUGGAAUCUAUGCUUUCCAGCAUUUCAGAAUGGCCACCAUGCAGGCUGUAACCCUUUAUGAAAAAUAAAGCUCUUCUUUCCAAAUUUAUGAACC